rnacentral:rRNA from 1 species
CAGCAGCCGCGGUAAUACCGGCGGCCCGAGUGGCGGUCACUAUUAUUGGGCUUAAAACGUCCGUAGCCGGGUUGGGAAGUCCUCCGGGAAAUCUGGCCGCUUAACGGUCAGAAUGCCGGAGGAUACUCCCAGCCUAGGGAGCGGGAGAGGCCGAGGGGAUUCCCGGGGUAGGGGGGAAAUCCUAUAAUCCCGGGAGGACCACCUGUGGCGAAGGCGCUCGGCUGGAACGCGUCCGACGGUGAGGGACGAAGGCCAGGGGAGCAAACCGGAUUAGAUACCCGGGUAGUCCUGGCUGUAAACGAUGCGGACUUUGUGUCGGACAAGCUAUGAGCUUGUCCGGUGCCGGAGGGAAACCGUUAAGUCCGCCGCCUGGGGAGUACGGCCGCAAGGCUGAAACUUAAAGGAAUUGGCGGG